UUGAUUACGUCCCUGCCCUUUGUACACACCGCCCGUCGCUGCCCGGGACUGAGCCAUUUCGAGAAAUUUGGGGACUGUUGAUUUAACUUUUUUUUAAAAAGUUUUUUUGAUGGAAACCAAUUUAAUCGCAGUGGCUUGAACCGGGCAAAAGUCGUAACAAGGUAGCUGUAGGUGAACCUGCUGCUGGAUCAUU
rnacentral:rRNA from 1 species